GGUUCAAGGUCCUCUAUCCC
rnacentral:tRNA from 1 species